rnacentral:lncRNA from 10 species
AGAAAGUGGAUGCACGCUGCUCCUGCCAUUGGAUCAUCGCAGCAUUUUUCUUUUCUCUGAUAUGCGCCUUUUUCCUCAUCGUGGGGGCUCAUGUUUUUGUACUUUCCUCUCGCUACUAGAUUGUGAGCUGCGUGAAGGAAGGUUCAUAGUUGUGUUGUAUGUACAGGCACACAAAAUUUGUCCUUGGAUAGACACAUAUCAAUCCGCUUCCUUCUCCUCUCUGAAGUUCUUUAUUUAAAAAAAAAAAUUAGAGAUGGAGUCUCACUGUCUUGCCCAGGCUGGUCUCAAACUCCUAGGCUCAAGCGAUCCUCCCGCCUCU